ACGGAGAAUUCAGCAAUGGAUUCUUAGUGGCGAACGGGUGAGUAACGCGUAGACAACCUACCUUCUAGAUGGGGACAACACUGCGAAAGUGGUGCUAAUACCGAAUGUUGUAGCGAUGAUGCAUAUUGUUGCUACUAAAGAUGGCCUCUAUUUAUAAGCUAUCGCUAGAAGAUGGGUCUGCGUCUGAUUAGCUAGUUGGUGAGGUAAUGGCUCACCAAGGCGACGAUCAGUAGCCGGUCUGAGAGGAUGAACGGCCACACUGGGACUGAGACACGGCCCAGACUCCUACGGGAGGCAGCAGUGGGGAAUCUUCCGCAAUGGACGAAAGUCUGACGGAGCAACGCCGCGUGAGUGAAGAAGGUUUUCGGAUCGUAAAGCUCUGUUUUCAGGGACGAAUGUGCGAAGUGUAAAUAAUGCUUUGUAAUGACGGUACCUGAGUAGAAAGCCACGGCUAACUACGUGCCAGCAGCCGCGGUAAUACGUAGGUGGCAAGCGUUGUCCGGAAUUAUUGGGCGUAAAGCGCGCGCAGGUGGGAUAUUAAGUCUGGUGUUAAAGUUCGGGGCUCAACCCCGUGAAGCAUUUGGAAACUGAUAUUCUUGAGUGCAGGAGAGGAAAGUGGAAUUCCUAGUGUAGCGGUGAAAUGCGUAGAUAUUAGGAGGAACACCAGUGGCGAAGGCGACUUUCUGGACUGUGUCUGACACUGAGGCGCGAAAGCUAGGGUAGUGAACAGGAUUAGAUACCCUGGUAAUCCUAGCUGUAAACGAUGGGUACUAUGUGUAGGGGAUAUCGACCCCUCCUGUG
rnacentral:rRNA from 1 species